AGUGAACGCUGGCGGUAGGCCUAACACAUGCAAGUCGAACGGCAGCACAGUAAGAGCUUGCUCUUACGGGUGGCGAGUGGCGGACGGGUGAGGAAUACAUCGGAAUCUACUUUUUCGUGGGGGAUAACGUAGGGAAACUUACGCUAAUACCGCAUACGACCUACGUGUGAAAGCAGGGGAUCUUCGGACCUUGCGCGAUUGAAUGAGCCGAUGUCGGAUUAGCUAGUUGGCGGGGUAAAGGCCCACCAAGGCGACGAUCCGUAGCUGGUCUGAGAGGAUGAACAGCCAGACUGGAAGUGAGACACGGUCCAGACUCCGACGGGAGGAAGCAGUGGGGAAUCUUGCACGAUGGGCGCAAGCCUGAUCCAGCCAUACCGCGUGGGUGAAGAAGGCGUUCGGGUUGGAAGGCCCUUUUGUUGGGAAAGAAAAGCAGCAGGUUAAUACCCCGCUGUUCUGACGGUACCCAAAGAAUAAGCACCGGCUAACUUCGUG
rnacentral:rRNA from 1 species